rnacentral:rRNA from 1 species
AUUGAACGCUGGCGGAAUGCUUUACACAUGCAAGUCGAACGGCAGCACGGACUUCGGUCUGGUGGCGAGUGGCGAACGGGUGAGUAACAUAUCGGAACGUAUCCAAUAAUGGGGGAUAACGAGUCGAAAGAUUCGCUAAUACCGCAUACGCCCUACGGGGGAAAGCUGGGGACCUUCGGGCCUGGCGUUAAUGGAGCGGCCGAUAUCUGAUUAGCUAGUUGGUGAGGUAAAGGCUCACCAAGGCGACGAUCAGUAGCUGGUCUGAGAGGACGACCAGCCACACUGGAACUGAGACACGGUCCAGACUCCUACGGGAGGCAGCAGUGGGGAAUUUUGGACAAUGGGCGCAAGCCUGAUCCAGCCACUCCGCGUGAGUGAAGAAGGCCUUCGGGUUGUAAAGCUCUUUCGCAAGGGAAGAAAACUUAGCCACUAACGUUGGUUGAGGUUGACGGUACCUUGAUAAGAAGCACCGGCUAACUACGUGCCAGCCGCCGCGGUAA